AGUAAACAACGUGACCUGGAGAGUGGGGUUCGUUUACAAAAGGACAUCAGACCAGGAAUAAACGGAAUACAGUGGUGGAUACCAGCGAAACAAACUAUGGACACGGAGAAACAACUACGGGGCAGCAAGGUAGUUGAAACAAACCUUUACUAUCCUAAACAGGAGUGGGGUUUUGGAUUUUUAAGAGAGAUCUGUGCCCUAUGUUUUCAAGCUGGAGCUGUGAGUGAAAACGACAACCAAAGACUGUUUGUUUUAUUCCUGCGAUAACACGAGUGUGUUGGCAUUAUUUUGGAAAGCGCGUUCAUUUGAACUUCGAGUGUAUAGUUCAAAGAUAAACCGUUUGUAAAACAACGCUGGCACCAGAGACUGUAUACUUUCAUAACAAGCAGUGCUUUGUGAAAUUCGUGCUGGGUUUAAGGACUGUGUAUUAUUAAAAAGGAUCACUAGGACACAUGGAGACGAAAAAAUCCCUGCAAUAUAUAACUGUAUUAAAACCACAAGUAUUGGACUGCUUCAUAGAGAGUCAACACAGUUAAUUUCAAGACCUUUAUUUUUAGUUGUUGGCUGGAAUGAAUACGUGGUAUUUUGAGUUGGCUCUGUUUGGCAAAACCAGACUUGUUCUUUUCUUCACUUUUACUUUAUAAACGCUGGGAUUACGUCAUCCUCCUUACCAGGACUGACCUGCUGGGGGCGCCCUUGGUUGUCGGUGAAAACUGAAAGCAGAACGGAGGUUUGUGUGCAGCCCUAAGCACGGAUUAUACAAUUGCAACGAUUAAACAAAGGAAACGUACCUGGAAGUCCUCCCGGUGGCAAGUAGUGGAAUUGCAGGCUAUCAAAAUCAAGUGAUAUUCUCAGAGGAACAGAAAACAUUGCAGUAAAUGUGACACGAACAUGACUAUGAAGUGAACUAUUAAAUCAAAUAACCACUGUUUGUUUUUCUUCCUCUUUAGAACAGCUUUCUGUUAUUAUAGCAUCUGUGCUCGUGUAAGGUACAGAUGCUACUAUGGUAAGUAAAUGGAUUCUACUUUAUUUUAUCCAGCA